AGUGAACGCUGGCGGUAGGCCUAACACAUGCAAGUCGAACGGCAGCACAGUAAGAGCUUGCUCUUACGGGUGGCGAGUGGCGGACGGGUGAGGAAUACAUCGGAAUCUACUUUUUCGUGGGGGAUAACGUAGGGAAACUUACGCUAAUACCGCAUACGACCUACGGGUGAAAGCAGGGGAUCUUCGGACCUUGCGUGAUUGAAUGAGCCGAUGUCGGAUUAGCUAGUUGGCGGGGUAAAGGCCCACCAAGGCGACGAUCCGUAGCUGGUCUGAGAGGAUGAUCAGCCACACUGGAACUGAGACACGGUCCAGACUCCUACGGGAGGCAGCAGUGGGGAAUAUUGGACAAUGGGCGCAAGCCUGAUCCAGCCAUACCGCGUGGGUGAAGAAGGCCUUCGGGUUGUGAAGCCCUUUUGUUGGGAAAGAAAAGCAGCAGGUUAAUACCCCGCUGUUCUGACGGUACCCAAAGAAUAAGCACCGGCUAACUUCGUG
rnacentral:rRNA from 1 species